UACGUAGGAUCCAAGCGUUGUCCGGAUUUACUGGGUGUAAAGGGUGCGCAGGCGGACUGAUAAGUCAGGAGUGAAAUCUCGGCGCUUAACGCCGAAACGUCUUUUGAUACUGUUGGUCUUGAAUUAGAGAGAGAUUCGUGGAAUUCCGAGUGUAGCAGUGAAAUGUGUAGAUAUUCGGAAGAACACCAGUGGCGAAGGCAGCGAAUUGGCUCUAUAUUGACGCUCAGGCACGAAAGCAUGGGGAUCAAACAGGA
rnacentral:rRNA from 1 species